CGGGGUGUAGCGCAGCCUGGAUAGCGCGUCUGUUUUGGAUACAGAAGGUCGCGUGUUCAAAUCACGCCAUCCCGA
rnacentral:tRNA from 1 species